AUGAAGGUUUUCCAUGUUUGGGUUUACAUUAAACUAACUGGAUAUGUGCUUACUACUUUUCUGACUUUAUUCCCUGUAUUCUUUUGGCAGAUGUUGGAGGAAUUAAAUGUUCUGAUUGGGAGAAAUGAACAUAUGGCUGUACUUCAUGCCAGAGGAGAAGCUGGAGCUUUUCUUCCUUGGGAGGCCAGCUCUAAGUUUUAGCCAGUCAAAUCACCUUUAAAAUGACACUGUAUACUUCCCAGCUCUGCCCUCUGUGAAGCGUGAUCGGGGAAGGUUCUGGUCAUGAGAGGUAAGCAAGGUUACUAUGUGGGCCUUCUGGAGAGAUGGAUUAAAAGGAAACUCACUCACUGAAGGAAAACCACGUUUCUUCCUCAUUUUCCUUUCUUUUUUAUUCUGGUCUGCAUGGUGGAAGUGAUGCAUGGUACUCCAGAAAAUGUAUUGAACUAGGAGAUAGGCCUGGAGGCUAUAGACCGCACAUCGGCAGUUCCAGUGUGUGAAGCUUCAGGUUUUGAUGGUGCCACAGAGUGCAUUGCCUUCCCAGCUCUAACCUGUCUGCCUCCAGACUCCUUUGAUGGUAAAUGUAAUUGCACUGAUUCUGUUUAUACUUUGUUCUUGGGGGAAUUCCUCUUAUCUCAUGUUUCAGAAUUUCUUCCAAUCAGAUUACGCUAUUUUAUCCUAAUUAUUGAAGCAUUUUAGUGCAUCUUAAUAAUCAUGAGUAUAUUCUUAAAAUUUAUUUUUAAAUUUUUAUUAUUUAUUUGAAGGUAGACACAAAGGGAGAUACAGGAGACAGAGGUUUCCCACCUGCUGCUUCUAUUUACAAAUGCCUGCAACAUUUGUGGUCAGGGUAGACUGAAGCCAAGAGCCAAGAACACCAUCCAGAUCUCCCACCUGGGUGGCAGGGGCUCAAGUACUUCAGUCAUCACCUGCUGCCUCCCAGGGCAUGUAUUAGAAGAAAUCUGGAAUAGGGAGCAUCGCCAGGAUUUGAAUUUAGGCAUUCUGAUAAGAGACAUAGAUAUCCCAACCAGCAUCUUAAUUGCCA
rnacentral:lncRNA from 1 species